GUCGCAUGCUCCCGGGCGCCAUGGCGGCCGCGGGAAUUCGAUUCGUAUUACCGCGGCUGCUGGCACGUAGUUAGCCGGGGCUUAUUCUUCAGGUACCGUCAUUGAUUCCGGAUAUUAGCCGGAACCGUUUCUUCCCUGACAAAAGAGCUUUACAACCCGAAGGCCUUCUUCACUCACGCGGCAUUGCUGGAUCAGGCUUGCGCCCAUUGUCCAAAAUUCCCCACUGCUGCCUCCCGUAGGAGUCUGGGCCGUGUCUCAGUCCCAGUGUGACCGUCCGCCCUCUCAGGCCGGUUACCGAUCGUCGCCUUGGUGAGCCGUUACCUCACCAACUAGCUAAUCGGACGUGGGCCCCUCUUCAAACGCCAGGUCUUGCGAUCCCCGGCUUUGAUCACCAUCCGUUCAAGGACAGGAUGUUAUGCGGUAUUAGCGCCCCUUUCGGGACGUUAUCCCCCAUUCGAAGGUAGGUCACCCACGUGUUACUCACCCGUUCGCCACUCUACUCAGGACCGAAGUCCCUUUCGCGUUCGACUUGCAUGUGUUAGGCACGCCGCCAGCGUUGAUUCUGAGCCAUGAUCAAACUCUAAUCACUAGUGAAUUCGCGGCCGCCUGCAGGUCGACCAUAUGGGAGAGC
rnacentral:rRNA from 1 species